AACGAACGCUGGCGGCAUGCCUAACACAUGCAAGUCGAACGAGAUCUUCGGGUCUAGUGGCGCACGGGUGCGUAACGCGUGGGAAUCUGCCCUCAGGUUCGGAAUAACCAUUGGAAACGAUGGCUAAUACCGGAUGAUGACGUUAAGUCCAAAGAUUUAUCGCCUGAGGAUGAGCCCGCGUAGGAUUAGCUAGUUGGUGUGGUAAAGGCGCACCAAGGCGACGAUCCUUAGCUGGUCUGAGAGGAUGAUCAGCCACACUGGGACUGAGACACGGCCCAGACUCCUACGGGAGGAAGCAGUGGGGAAUAUUGGACAAUGGGCGAAAGCAUGAUCCAGCAAUGCCGCGUGAGUGAUGAAGGCCUUAGGGUUGUAAAGCUCUUUUACCCGGGAUGAUAAUGACAGUACCGGGAGAAUAAGCUCCGGCUAACUCCGUG
rnacentral:rRNA from 1 species